GGAUGUGAGGGCCAUAUGGCUGUGACAUCUGUCACCCCACUAAUCACCAGGGUUGAUUCCACUGAUCUGGCUAGCUAGGCAGCUGUCCCCUUCCUCCCUCGCACUGCAUGUCCAUCCCUCCCAAAGCUGCAUGCUCAGUCAAAGAGGACGACCACCCGAAAGAGGAGGACACUCCCAGGUCAAGGGUAAAGGAGUAGCUGAACCCUCUGCUGGAACCUCCAAAGAAGCUCUCAAUAUCUUUAUAUCUUAUUAAAAUUUUUUAACAGUGAUUUUAUGAGUGGCUUCUUUUUGUUUUUAAAAAUUUACCUUUUUAAACUUUUUUGAGGUGUUUGGUAUAGCU
rnacentral:snRNA from 1 species